rnacentral:rRNA from 1 species
UACAGAGGGGGCAAGCGUUGUUCGGAAUUACUGGGCGUAAAGGGCGCGUAGGCGGCCUGUUAAGUCGAACGUGAAAUCCCCGGGCUCAACCCGGGAACUGCGUCCGAUACUGGCAGGCUUGAAUUCGGGAGAGGGAUGCGGAAUUCCAGGUGUAGCGGUGAAAUGCGUAGAUAUCCGGAAGAACACCGGAGGCGAAGGCGGCUUGCUGGACCUGGUCUGACGCUGAGGCGCGAAAGCGUGGGGAGCGAACAGG